AGAGUUUGAUCCUGGCUCAGAUUGAACGCUGGCGGCAUGCCUUACACAUGCAAGUCGAACGGUAACGGGCCUUCGGGUGCCGACGAGUGGCGAACGGGUGAGUAAUGCAUCGGAACGUACCUUCAGUGGGGGAUAACGUAGCGAAAGUUACGCUAAUACCGCAUAUUCUGUGAGCAGGAAAGCAGGGGAUCGCAAGACCUUGCGCUGAUUGAGCGGCCGAUGUCAGAUUAGCUAGUUGGUGAGGUAAAGGCUCACCAAGGCGACGAUCUGUAGCGGGUCUGAGAGGAUGAUCCGCCACACUGGAACUGAGACACGGUCCAGACUCCUACGGGAGGCAGCAGUGGGGAAUUUUGGACAAUGGGGGCAACCCUGAUCCAGCCAUGCCGCGUGAGUGAAGAAGGCCUUCGGGUUGUAAAGCUCUUUCGGCCGGGAAGAAAUCGCAUGGGUUAAUACCCUGUGCGGAUGACGGUACCGGCAUAAGAAGCACCGGCUAACUACGUG
rnacentral:rRNA from 1 species